GACGAACGCUGGCGGCGUGCUUAACACAUGCAAGUCGAACGAAGAGCGAUGGAGGCUUGCUUCUAUCAAUCUUAGUGGCGAACGGGUGAGUAACGCGUAAUCAACCUGCCCUUCAGAGGGGGACAACAGUUGGAAACGACUGCUAAUACCGCAUACGAUCCAAUCUCGGCAUCGGGACUGGAUGAAAGGUGGCCUCUAUUUAUAAGCUAUCACUGAAGGAGGGGAUUGCGUCUGAUUAGCUAGUUGGAGGGGUAACGGCCCACCAAGGCGAUGAUCAGUAGCCGGUCUGAGAGGAUGAACGGCCACAUUGGGACUGAGACACGGCCCAGACUCCUACGGGAGGCAGCAGUGGGGAAUCUUCCGCAAUGGACGAAAGUCUGACGGAGCAACGCCGCGUGAGUGAUGACGGCCUUCGGGUUGUAAAGCUCUGUUAAUCGGGACGAAUGGUUCUUGUGCGAAUAGUGCGAGGAUUUGACGGUACCGGAAUAGAAAGCCACGGCUAACUACGUG
rnacentral:rRNA from 1 species